rnacentral:rRNA from 1 species
AUGUGCUUGCUCAGGUGCUCGAGCACGCUGAUCCUCUUCAUCUUCUCUUCGUCGGGUGCCCGUGCCGGCCAAUGGCGCACUGUUACAUUUGGUGGUUGGGGCGCCUUGAUGGCAGGACACGUCGGCGUGGAUUUCUUCCUGGCUACUCUAUCCACGCGUCGCCAUUAUGCUCACGGACGCUUUUAUUGGGAGAUACCUUAUACCCGCAAGCUGCUCGUGUUCGACACGCGCACGGAGGAUUUCUCUUCUCUCAGCACUCCACGUGGCCAUUAUCAGAUGGUCUUUGUGGAGGCAAUGGAAGGAAGGCUUGGGAUGUUUAGCCGCAGCAUUGAAGAUGAUGGAAAACACCUCUUGUAUGACAUUUUGCAGGAUAAUGGGGAUGGCACGAACCAGUGGCGAAGGGAGGACGUAAUCUCGGUGCCAUAUAAAUAUCACUAUGACAUCAUCGGUGUUGCGGGGGGAUGCUUACUUCUACAUGGGAAUGUAGACAACCCGGAGUCUCCAGAAUUCCACUUCAGCUCUUAUUCACUGGAUCUGCAGACUAUGAAGCUUAAGUGGUUUCGUGGGACUCAGUCCUUGUACUUCUCCCCACACACCCAUCUGUAUGCGGGUUUCCCGCCAUCCUUGUCUCCACCAACUAUUUGA